rnacentral:lncRNA from 1 species
CAAUUUUGAUUAUUGAAGAAGACUAGAUUCGAUAGAAAUUGACUAGCCUUAAUAUGCGUUAUAUUAAUUAAAAUUUGGUAGGUAAAAUGUAAGUAAUAGUAGUGAUUAAUAAAAUACAUCUCCGUGAGCAUAACUCAGCUGCCAAAGACAUGCAUUGUUAUAUGCAUGGAUCGGGGUUCGAACUCCGAACACCCAAUUAUUCACUUUAAAAAAAGGUGAAUUUUAACCAAUAAACUACUUAUAAAAGAAUACAUAAGAGAUAUAGAACGUAACCAUAAUUGAGGAGAAGCGUGGGUUGAUAGGGAUGAAGACAUCUUUGAGCAAAGGUAUAACCAGUGAGUUAUCAAAUGGAAUAGCAAACUCCAGAAAGCCAAAAACAUAUGAACAUAUGACAGAGCUGUUGAAAUAUUGUCCAUGGGGACUCACUGGCUCUUGAACUUCUUCAUAGAACUUGUCCAUUAUGGUCUGAUGUGUGUGUGCAAGAGAUUUUAUGACACUUCAAUUAGACACUUGGCUACAUAAAGUCUAAGUGGCACCAUAAUUUAUAGAGGUAUGUUACUUGAAACAAAUAUUUUAGGCAAUAUCCCUCAAAAAAAAAAAAUUAGGCAAUAAAAGAAUGUUGAAAAGAGUAAGUGUUUGAGAGAGCAUCUAAUAAAAGAGUGAGUAUUAGAGAUAGUGUUUAAAAGAAAAAUUUGCUAGCAUUCUCCGUAAUAAAAACAUAAUUAAUUGUGUUUCCGUGACCAUAACUCAAUUAGACCCUAGGCUACUUGACAAAAAAAAUAUAGGGUCAUGUUAACUUGUGCCCUAAAGGCAUAUGUUAAGGAACUCAAAAAGAGCAACUUUGCAUUGGAAAACAUAAUAUUUUACUCCCUCCGUUUUUAAAUAUAAUCAAAAAGAGUAACUUUUAAGAAGUCAAAUGUACGACUUUUGAUACGUUUAUUUCUAUAAUAAAUUCCUUAACAUGUGCCUUGAUGACACAAGUUAAGGUUUGCCAAAAAUAUAUAAUUAAUUCUUUACUGGUAUAAUAAUUAUGCAUGUUUUACGUUGAAUAAAUAACUAUGCAUGUUGAGCUUGUUUGCUUUCGCAUUUGAUCUUGUUAAAUAUAUUAACGUGUUUUGGGUGACAAAUCACACGUUACAAAAUCUUUUGAGUGAUCCUUAUGGAAGAAACUGCUGUGGAGAUGAAGAAAAAACGUGUUUGUUUGUGGUGAGUAGUGGCGUUGGCAUGACCUACUUCAACUUCAAGCAACCAAAGUAGUAUAAUACUACGUAUGUGCUGUCUUUCUUAUGUGUUAAUAUUGUUAAUCAGAAUCUGGAAAAUGAUAUCAGUUUUUGUUACCACGCAUGUGCAUGCCAGCAGUUGUCUCAAAUCUCAAUCUUCCAAGCUCUCUAAACAAGUUUAUGUUUUGAGUUUUGACGGUGGAAAUAUUUCUAAAAAACAGAAAACCACACUGGAAAUAUGUUUGGUUGAAUUUCUAAAUACAUUUUCAAUGAAAAUAUUUCUAGAAAAAAUAGAAAAAUUGGAAAACACGGUGGCAUAAUUGUAAAUAUAAUGACAUUGCUUUAUGUUUAGGCAUGACAAUCGAGCGGGGUGGGGACGGGUUUUACCUUCCACGUCCCCAUACCCUACUCUCACAUACUUACUCCAUUACACUAUCCAAAUCCAGCAGAGAUGAGAAAUCGAAUCUCAUCCCCAUCACCGACGGGUUUGGGUAUCCCUGCCCCAUCCCCAUCUCUGCAGUGAUUUUUUAUUUUAUUUUUAAUAAAAAUAGUCUUUUUAUCCCCGAGUGCAAUGUUGUAAUGCAUUAUCCAACGAAGAGAUGUUGGCGAUCGAUGCCGAAAGUGUGAGAUAUGGAAGGAGAAAAGAGAAAACUAUGAUAAGCGAGUGUCACUUGAAAGAUUGUGACUCUCACUUUAUGAGUGAAAUGAUUUAGGGUUUGGGUUUCUAUUUAUAUAAAUGAGGUAGUAAAUUGAUUUUUAACAUUCGAGACGGAUUUGGUAUGAGUUCGGGAUGAGUAUAUAUAUCGUCGUAAUCGUUUUGUAUCCAUGUUUUAAUAUCGGUGAAAACCCAAACACAUACACAAAAUUAAUCAAAGCGAAAAAAAACCCAUUAAAUUGAGUUUGAUUCAAACGGGUACUCGUAGAUGUGGGUUUUGUGUCAUGUUUAUUUAUAUUUUUCUAUUUUCCAUGUUGUAGUUUAGAAUUGAACACGAUCCUGUACGGCAUGGAGCUAUGAUAUUUUAACAACCUAAAUAAAUAAGUUGUUGGUAUGUACACCUCAAACUUGAUGGCUGAUGCUUCAAAAUCAAGCGUGACAGAUAAAUCAGGCAUAUAAAAAAAAUAAAAGAAAAUUGGAAGAAACGUGUAUAUAUGAUGAAUUGACAUUUUUUUUUUUAAUGAACUAUGGAUUCAUAACUUAGAUUGUCAAUAUAUACUCUAUCAUUUUUUCCUUAAAAAAAUAAAAAUAUACUCUAUCAUUUUUGUACUACACAUUCCGGUAACUAUCAUAAGAAAUAGUAUAUAUUUUAGACUCAUUUAAUUAAGUAUGUAUAUGAUCUUUAUUAUCGACCACGUACAUCAUUUAAUAAAUAAAUUUAUAAUGGUACUUCCUCCGUCCUAAAUUGUAUGACGUUUUAGGCAUUUGAUCACACAUAUUAAAAAAUACAAUUAAUAUUGUGUGGAAAAAAUAUAUUAUGAGUUGUUUUACAAAAUUGUUCUUAAUAAAUAAUAUGGAAAAAUAAAUGAAAGAAUUGAAAGAAGAGAUAGUAAUAAAUAGUUAAGGUUAUAAUAGAGAAAUUAAUAUUAAUGUUGCAUUGGUAUUGUAAAGUAACAUAUAAUUUGAGACAAUUUUUUUUCCUAAAGCGACAUACAAUUUGGGACGGAGGAAAUAAUUUUUAUUUAUAAUUGUGGCCGGAUGAUGUACAUGCAUGUGAAUUGUGACCAAAAUAUUUUGUUUUGAAUAAUUUGCAUUGGUAUUUUGUUUUGACCAAAAUAUUAUACUUAGGUUAAAUAAGUUUUUGGUCCUUAUAAAAUUUUUAAAUUUUAACUUUAAGUCCUUCUAAAUUUUUUCAUCAAUUUUUGGUUUUUAAAAAAUCAUCUGUCACAACUUUUGGUCUCUGCAUUUAAUUAAACUCAUGUGUACAAUUCAAGAUUUUGAAUUAUUUUUAUAAAAAUAACUCUUGCAAAAUUUUAUUUGUUUAUAUGUGUUGAAGCAAAUUUUUAUGUUAUUUUGCAGGAAAAUAUUCAGGACUCUUGGAGGUGGUUGCUCGAUCCUACACACAUGGUUACUCGUUUCGUGGGGCAUAUCGAUUCCUAACCUCGGAUGAAGAACCAAUGGCAGCUAGUGACUACAACGAUGUCUGGCAUAAACUUGUUCCUACUAAAGUUUCAAUUUUUGUUUGGUGUCUUCUUCAAAACAGAAUACCGACAAGAGCUAAUCUGGUAAGACGUUUUGUUCUCCAACCGCAAGAAAAUUUGUGUUGUGGAGGGUGUGGUAGCAUCGAGACGACGAAUCAUCUUUUUCUUAACUGUAAUGUUUUUUGAAAAGUUUGACACUUAAUUCUUCAUUGGCUUGGGAUCUCUUUUGCAUGUCCAGGGCUUAUCAAAGACCAUUAUACUCAAUUUACUCAUUUGGUGGGCAUGCCGCGAGCAUCAUAUUCUUAUUUAAAGGUUAUAUGGAUUGCUUCUAUUUGGACAAUUCGGAAGGAUAGAAAUAACUGUAUCUUUAAAAAUACGAUAAUCGAUCGUAAUGGUAUUUUGGAGAAAGUGAAGUGGACCUCCUCUUUAUGGCUAUCGUCGAAUUUUGUUCCUUUAACUUUUGGUUUUCAUGACUGUUGGUGACACCCACUACUUUGUAUUGGUAUGUAAUUGUUUUUGUUUUGUCCGGUGGUGGCACUUUUAAUUUGUGCCUUGUAUCUGUAACAGAUUUUGGGUGAUUCACCUCUUUAGCACACCUUAUGCAGGGUGAAUUGUUCCUCAUUUGAGCAAUAUAUUCCAUUUUGAUUUGUUCAAAAAAAAAUUAUGUACCCAUAUGAAAAAAUCGAUAUGAUAAAAUUUUGAAAAACUCAUGACUAUUUUUAAAAUUUUAACAUUAAAGUAGUGUUUUUUUUUUUUUUUUUACCACGUAGCUUAAUGGCCAUAAUUCAUUGUUUAAGGUAGUGUUUCUAUGAAACACCGUUAAAUAUUUACAUAGCGUCUGUCACUGAUUUUAUGCGCUUAUAUCCUUGGAAGCAAAUUUUUAUCUCUCGAUAUGAGAAAGUCGAUACAAGGAUGUAUAUAUCAAAAUAUAUAUCAACGUUAACAUAGGUGUACAAGGAUGUAUGAAAAUAAAGGGUGUCUAUGUAAUAUUUUUCAUGUUUAAAUUAUCAAUUCUUUUAAGGUGGCAUUCUAUAUUUUAUCCUGAUUUGGCAACUUAUUGAGAUUGUAGUAUUUCAAUCCACUUUGUUGAUUCUUUUUCUGGUAUAAAUCAUUUUGAAGCUAUUCAUAGUGGGAUCAGUGUAUAUAGAGUUAGGGCCUUCAGCUGUAUCUUGAUUUACUUAUUUUGUAAAACUUCAUUAGUUCUAUUUCAAGUAUUUGUAAACGAUUUCAAACUUCUCUAAAUGUAUUAUUUUAGUUUGAAUAGUGAUAUUUGAAAAAUCAUUUAAAAUAAUUUUUGUGACAAUUUUCUUUUUUUCUUUUUUUAUUGGUCAAAAACAAAAUAUAUAGUAAUGUAUGUAUGUGUGUGUGUGUGUGUGUGUGUAUGUGUAUAUAUGUGUGUGUAUAUAUAUAUAUAUAUAUAUAUAUAUAUAUAGAGAGAGAGAGAGAGAGGGGGGGGGGGGAAAAAGAAGAGAGCGAAUAAGAAGAUAAUGUGAAUAUGAAAGAGAGAGAAUUAUAAAAAAAUUGUCAUAAAAUAGUUGUAAAAGUGUCAUUUUUCUUUAGUUUUGAAGACCUUAUACUUUAGAUUAAUUCCGUUGUGGAAACUUUUAUUAGAAACUUGGUUUUAAAAACUCCUGUCGUUACAAAGAACUUUAGAGUGAUUUUGCCAAAAAAGAAUAAGUACUUUUGGUUUUGGAGAAUGAAGUAAAUAAUUAGCCUUGAUUUUAUUUUUUUGCAAGCUAAGCAUAAUUAGUAGAAAGAGGCACUGCAUCAUGAUUGCAGCAUGCAACUUUUUUCAGUUUUAUUUAAUAUUAUUUCUGAUAAUAUGUAUUUUUUUUCCAAAAUCUUCGAUGGACAAUGUAAGUAGAGAAUUAAUUAAAUAUCAUGAUUUUAGAAAAUAUUUGGGGAUCAGCUUCAUAUUAGAUGCUUCAGAUAAAAAUGACACAUCUGUAUUACUAGAUUACAAUGUGAAGACACUGACUCAAAAUAUGGUUUGUCAUACUGAAAGAGCCACUGCACUUUUAUGUAGCAAUUCUCACAGUAUUAAGUCACGUAACUUGCUCAUCAAUCAUCAUCCCUUUACAUUUUAACUGAAGACAUUCAAAUUUUACCAUUACUUUUCAGUACCUUCCCACACUAUAUUAGGAUACAUAUUUAAGCAACUUAAAUUUGCACACAGCUGAACUAAUUUAAUUGAGCUCAUCGAAUUUCUCAUAUGUACGUUUCGUCGUCAUCAUUUUCUGUUGUUCUUUCCCUUCUUGAAAUCAUGUUCAUCAAGCUCUUUGUCGCUCGGCCAACUGCUCUUGAAGUCUUUCUUGCAGCUCCUGCCUGCAACAACGGGUUGCAGAGAUAUUUCGGGCAAAUUCGUUCUCUCUUCAAUCAUGGUUGUAUCAAAAUAAACAAUAAUCAGACCAACAAUAGAGGAUAGACAAGUCAAUCUGUGUAUCUGGGAAUUGGAAUGAUGCAGCCACUGCAGUAACAAGAUCAAUACCGUUGGAUGAAUGUCUAAUGACUCACAUUCUAAGUAUGUGGUUAAAAUCGUUUUUUGGAGGUUGAAAUAUAAGUCAUAUGAUCUCUAUCCAACCAGUCUAGUAUCAGUUGUGAACCCAAAUCAAUAUUCAAUGGAGACUCCAAUACUAGAUAUCUUUUUCUUGCUUAAGAAAAACAACCACUAAGUAGUUCAAUUUUUACCAUUAAAUGGAUUGGCAUUCACUGCUCUGUAUAGUGUAUACCGAUGUUAAAAAUAAGAAAAUGAAUCCAUUCGUGUGGCUAGAGAUUAAUGUUUGAAUGAUAUACAUUUCAUCAAAAUAUCAGUCUAAAUGGAUGUAUUAAACAGAAAAGUAAAAUAUAAUUUGAAAUAUGUUACACAUAUAUAUGUUCACGACCAAAAAAGGCCAAGUGUCAUUGAAUAUAACGUGGACGAUGUCAUAUCCAUAUGAAGACUAUACCCUAUGAGGAGAUAUUCCGGUAUUUGGGGGAUGUAUUUGUUGUUGAGGGAAGGUGUACCGCCACUUGCCAUAGAGGACGAAGAGGCAAUACGAGUAUGUGCAUGACAUUCCCAAACAUCCAUCAUUGUAAAUGUUGUUAGUGUACCAACUAUAGUGAUGAACAAAAUAGCAAGUGUACUAUAUAGUCGUCAAUGAGUAAAAUUUAUAAUGUUCGAAGUUUGUAUCCUCAGGGAUUGUGUUAUUUCAACUUAUCUAAUGCGAUGAGAUGACUAGGUUUUAAGUAGCACUUAUCAAAAUGAUUGAUUGUUUUAUUUGAGGGAGGGAGGGAGGGAGAGGGACUGAGGGAGAGGGAGGGGGAGAGAGGGAGGGAGGGAGAGAGAGAGAGAGAGAGAGAGAGGCGACUAUGUCGUGUUAGAUUCACUUCCCUAAACUAUUUAUGUAACUACAAACUAGAAAUAUACUGCUCACUGUUACUAAUCGCUUGAUUUUAAGACAUUUGAUCAAAAUAGUUAGGUCAUUGUCUUGGUCACUAACCAUCUUUAAUGAUUACUAUUCUCUAAUGCCUUAGGUGAAUACAUGAGCAUCGAAGGUUCAAGUAAGCUAAAUUAAGUAUACUAUUAUUUUUAGAAUAUGUCUAUGCUAACCAAUAAUUGAACAAUUUAUACCGGUUCUUGAAGGAAAAUCGAAUUAACAAAAUAAACUGCGGAAUAAAAAUUUCGAUUUUCUUUCCUUUGAUUAUUAUGAAUUUGACAAGAAUCAGUGAUUCGAUUGUUACCUCGAAGUGUGGAAUCUGGAAUCUCAAUCACAGCUAAGCAAGCAGCAGAGCCUCUAGCAAGUCCACAUGAACGGUACUCCUCCAAAUCUCGGUGCUAGCCAAGGAAUCAGAAGUUUCAAAGAACUAGGGUUUCUCAAAAACGUGUAACAAAGACUUCAGCACUAGGGUUCUAUUUAUAUAACUCCUAGUGUGCUCUGCAAGUCAAAAGUCACUAUCAGGCUUCCGUAAGCCUAAUAACGAGUUUAGCAUUUUACCCAUUAUAUAAGUCAUACUUAUAUUUCUCUUUUGACCAUUCUUUUGUGUGUGACCCUAUAGGUUGUGUGACCCUAUAGGUUCUAGUCACAUUGGCAAUAAUAUUAAGUCUAAUAUUUAAUACUAUAAACAAUGAGUGGUAUCUAGCAACACAUCAUUGCUAUCCAAGUGACAAGAAUGUCAAGUGAUCUGACGAAACUUUUUCCAUGAUAAUAUUUAUGUGUACAAUUACUCCUUUGUCCUAAUAUCUAUAUUGAUCACAAGGCAUAGAUAUUGUCACCCUUGUAUAGAUCAAUAUUUAUAUUUCUUGAUCUUGAAAUAUACUGAAUAACUAAUAUGUCCAAUAUCUCAUAUUGACUUAGUUCGGCAUGGUCAUGCAAUUUUACAGUCAUAUUUCAUCAAAAGUCCUAAAGAUAUAUCUCCUGUUAUGAGGAGGGACAAAUCUCAUCUAGGACACUCAUGUCCCUCAGCAUGAUUCAUCAAGUACUCAUUAACCAACGUUAUGGUUAUCCUUUUACAAACAACAUUAGAAUGACAACAAAGCACUUGAGUCCACAUCUAGGGAUCAUAGUGGUUUCAGGUCUAAGAGUGAUAUACACUAUUAUCAUUGUGAGAAUAUCUUAUGACAUUUUCAUAACAUACUAUGUAGUACUCUCAUGGUGGGUCAAUCUAGUAUAAAUAUUACUCUUGUAUAGACUUAAUAUCUCAUAUCUAUGACCCAUGAGAUGUGGUCAUCAGUCUAUAUACAUAAUAGUCUCGAUGCUUUAUUAUUAUCCCAAUUCAUAUUAACGCUUGACUAUAGAUACAUUUAAGAAUAGUGUUCUUUAUGUUAAUGUAAUCUCAUGAUUAAGUCACACUUAAUAUACUAUUACACGAACUAUCUAUUCUAGGAACUUUAUUAACAUUACAACAAAUAUAAUAAAGAGUAUCAUAUAUUAAUUGAUAAUAAAAGUCAUGAUACAUAACAUAAGUUUAACAUAAAUUAUUGGCCUCUAGGGCUUACACCAACAGUUCUACUAUCAAGGCUAUGGUUAGUAGUCCUUGGUUUCAUAUCGAUUUAUGAACAAUAUGUAAUCAUAAAUACCAUUAAAUACAAGUAUAAUUGAAUAAAAUAACAAAAACAGUCAACUGAAUUUCAUAGAAUGAUUUAAAGUUACAAAAAUCAAAUAAUCGUAAAAAGUUCCUCUUAAUUUAGCUACUCAUGUUGUAUAAACACAUAUUAAUACAUAUGAAUAGACAAACAUAAGAAAAGAAUCACCGGUGGAUGAUUCAUCCGCUCCAUAAGUGCUUUGAUGGAUGCAAAAUCGCACUUUCUAUGUCGUCUGCUCGUCAAAAAGUGUCUUCUCAUUGACCUAGGGGUCAAAUAUAUAUAGGCGUGCAUUUCCCAAGGUUUUAGGGAAAGUCGGCCCACGACACAAUAAGUAAUCUAGCGAGGCGAGCCUUGAGGAGACUAAUUUUGGUGUUUUUCCAUCUGAGACUCGCGACAGUGCAAGACCGAUCCCGACAAUUUCUUCAGAUGCUCGCGAUGCAGCCUUUUAGCCCCCGACGCGAGCCAGUGUUGAUUUUUGUUUUCUGAAUCCGCAAGAUGCAACUCAUAGCACACAUCGUGAGUGAUGACGAGGUUGAUCAUGCUUCACUUUAUGCUCCAUUCUCAUGGCUUCAAGUAUCCUUUCAAGUUCUUGUCUUUUCAUGAAUUUCUUUCGAAUUCUCCACUAAAAUGCACUUAAACAAACUGCUUAUACUCUAAAUCGACUCUAAAAGAUGACUAAAAACCCAAUAUAAGAUUAAAGUUGAUAUUUUUUUAUUUUUUUUUUAGGUUUAAUGAAAUUGUUACCUAAAUAAUUUUCGAAUGAAUGAAAUUGUUUUUGAUGAUUUGUGUUUUAUUAUAUAUAUUUGGAGAUGAAUGAAUGUAUAGAUAUAUGAAAGAAUAAAUAAAUAAAAUGUAUGAAUGAAGGAAUAUAUUAAUGAAUGAUUGAAUGAAUGUAGUAUCCAAAACAAACAUAAAAAACUCAAACUUUAAAACAGUGCAAGUUUUUUCUCUGUAACUAAUAGUUAGAUGUCGUAGGUGUCAACAAUAGUUAACUAUUGUUCCUGAAGCAGUAAUUUAUUAUUUAUGAGAAAUGAUAUUUGUACAACCAUUUUGUGACAACUUCUUAACAAUUUUCUCUCUUAUACUAACAUUAUGUUUUUAUUCUCUCUCUUCUUUUUUCUCUCUAUUGUUUUUGACCAAUGAAAUUAGAGGAAAAAAAAAGUUAUCAUAAAAGUUGUAUGAAAUAGUUGUUCAAAUAUCAUUACUCAUUAUUUAUAGACCAACAAAAACAAUUAAUUGAUGUUGGGGUAUUGUCGUCAGUUUAGGGUGCUUCCAAACAAACUAUGAGUACCAAAAGAGCAAUUUUCACUCCCGUUUUCCCUUAUCACGUGGCAACUUGGAUUUGGCCCAAUACUAAAAUGUUUUUCGGCAGUUAAGUGCCGAGGAAAUAAAAAAUUGGCUGCAGUUAACUGCCGAAGAAAUGUUUCAUCAGAUGAAACAGCCACCUGCUCCUCCUACACCUCAUCAACUUCCAUACCACUUCCAUCUAAUCUGCCAAAUCCAAUAUUUUUUUCAUCAAAUCUUGCUCCAAAAUCAUUUAAGCAUCAAGCAUAGGAGGUAUCAACACCCUUUUGACGUAAAAAAACAGGUAUUACGCAUUUUAUAUAUACAUUUUACUGAUUAUUAUGUUUCGUUUAAUUUCAUCCUGAUGUAUGAUUUUUUCAUAAAGAUUUUGUGAAGUGAAACAUGUAUGAGGUUGCAAAAAUUGAAGGCCGUGUUAGAUACUCUUCUUUUAAAAAGAGAAUUAAGGUUAUGAUGACGCCGACCGACUCUCUUGAUGAUUUGAAGACACAAGUUAACACUUAUUUUGAGCAUAUUGGUGAAACUCAAUAUACACGUCACUUAUUUUGCUCAGAUGCCUUGCAUUGACCACCUAGGAGUAGAUAAACAUAAAGAUGAAGACAACUUAUGUACCUUGGCUUAUUCAGGGCGAUAAUGACGUCGGAUUUAUGUUUCAGAAUAUGGUGGAAGAUAAUAUAUUAUAUUUGUAUUUUCGUUCCAUUUGCAACUUCAUAGAAUGUCACCAGAGAUUUCAUUUAACGAUAUGUAAUGUGUUGUAGUGUGUUGUUUAAUUAUGGCACUCUUUAAUGUUUUGAUAAAUUUCAAACAUCCGUGUAAUUUUAACUCUACGUCGGAUUGAUUUAAUUAUGGAUAAUUGUAAAAGAUAAUACAUUUUUCUUGUUUAUGACUUAGUAUAAAUGUUGUACGAAUAGUAUUGCCUCUUGAAAUGCUCUGGUUGAAUUUCAUGUAAAAACUGGUCGAAAAUGGCUUGGUUCAAUUAUGCAAAACCUAUUGUCUGCAUAAUUGUUUUCCUCAGCAGUUAACUGCUGAUAGAAUACUAAAAUCGGCUGCAGUUUACUGCCAAAGUUACUUCGACAGUUAACUGCCAAAAAAUAAUGAAAUCGGCGGCAGUUAACUGUCGAGGGAUAUUUACGUCUUUUAUAUGUGUGUUUCAGCGUUAUAACUUGUGUGAACAACAAUUUUCAUUCUUUUAUUCUUCUUUCUUGAUUUCUUUUCUUUUCUAAAAAAAUGGUGCGUCCCACUUUGGGAGCAAACCCACCCAACAAUCUUUUUUGUUCCUAGAUUAUAAAAAUUGUUUUUUUAAGAAGUUAAACUAAACCAUCUUAAUUGAUAUCGAUGAGAAUCAACCCUGAAACUUUGAGGGAAAUAUAUUCCAAAUAAUAAAUCAACAUCACCAGACCAACUCAAAUGUAAUUUAAGUUUAGCAAGUUGAAAUGACAAAUGCAUUAAUAAUAGUAAGCCAUGUGGAUUUUAAGUUUCUCUUAAUAUUUUCCGUAGAAAAACAGAAGAUCAUUGUGCAUAGAAUAAUAGACAUUGAUUAUAGUUAGAACUUCAUGGGUAGAUAAUAAUAUAUUUAACAAAACCUUUUUUUUUGUCAGAUAUUUAACAAAACCUGAAAUGUGGCAACAAAUUUUCAUAAACAAGUUGGUAUCUAUUUAGUUGUUUUAAGUUUAGAGAAUUUGGUAAGUGGGAGAGGGAUCAUCUAAAAAUAUUUUUAUAGAUGAUCCCUGUAAAAAAAAAAAAAAAUUGAAAAAUAUUUUAAAAAAAAACCGAAAAUGACUUAUAUUGUAAAACACUUUUAACCCUUCUAUAAUUUGAGAUGAUGGUGAAAUAUGAGAAGAAAUGAUAGUGAGAUAAGAGAAAAAAAAGCUGUGAGUCUUGUGUAUUCUUCUUUUUCACACUGUUUUUCUCACCAACCCACGUACUCCAUUAUAUAUCAGCAAGUAAAAGAAGUUGCUAUCAUUUUGUGAAAGUAGAAACUGAAAAUCCUAUUAAUUAGGAUUGACCAAUUAAAAGCCAACGUUAUAAUUGACAAAGCAAGAAACGUGCAUCAGACUAUUAAUACCUGAUAAUGCAAUUAAUUCUUUUAAAAGAUAUUUAAAAUAAUAUUACAACUUUAAAAUAAACUAUAAUCUAAAAUAUCCAACAAGUACAAUUUUUUUUUUUUUUUUUGGUAGAUAGACGAAAUGGCAAAGCCAUUAUAAACUCACACACACAAGUGGAGGUACCGGGGUUCGAACCCCGAUCAUGGCAUCCGGCCUAACAAUUUCGGCAUUUUGCCAGUUGAGCUAGGACUUCUGGAUCCAACAAGUACAAUUUAAAGAGUAGCAAUAAUUAUUGCAUCAAUGGAAACAUAAUCUUGUAGAAAUUGAAAAUGCCAAACAUAGUUGCUUGCAUGGCUUAAAAACCAUAAUUAGGUGGUGGUAAUAGAGAAACUAGCAUACUAGGGUGGUGGCAAUGGAGAGACUUUAGUAUUGAAUUUAAUUUGUAUCACUCCAUAGCUGCUUUGGAUAUGAUUGCAGCUGCUUUCUCAAUGCAGAACUUCAAUUUAUAUUCAUCUAUGAACCCCUUUUGGGUUUUCAUAGCGAUUCUUAAUAUUUUCUCGUAGCUAAUAAUUGUAAUUGUUAAAUUCUGCAUCAACACACAAGAGGUAAUUAAAGUGUUUGAACUUAUAUUCAUGAGAUCUUGUCUUAUCCAACCCAAGUAGAUAUGAAAGUGUAUGUAUGGUGGGUGUGGCAUAUAUAUCCUCAUUUUAUAAUCCACUAAAUAUAUACAAUUGGGAACGUGUUAUUUGAAUAUCAAAAUACAUACAUACCCUAUAUAUGUUUAUAUUUAUCUCUUCAUGUGUAGAAAAAUAUACCCUACAACUUACACACAAAAAUUAAAGAAUAUUGAACAAUUUAUUGUCAAUACCCAUUUCACAAUAAAUAGCCACUAUAUAUAUGUAUGUGAUGUGUAGUGGGAAUCAGCCAAACUCAUUUAUCAGUCAAAAAGUAUUGUUAUCAAGAAUAUGUUGAGGCAAAAACAAAAUAAAAUAGAAAAUAUGAGUAAAGAAAAGAAAAUUAUAUGCAUGAUUUGAUUAACGGUGAGUUUAACUAAAUCAUACCAUGAUAUUAUCAUUUUAACAAAAGUUAUAAUUCUAAUAUUUAAUAUCUAAUUAUGAUAGUUUUUUCAAAAAAAAAAAAAAUCUAAUUCUAAAAGUUAAUGAACAAUAUCUCUUAAACUUACAAAGUCAAGCUUUUGCCACUAAGCUGACAUAUCUUAGACUUAUUUCUUCUAUUUUGUAUUACAAAAAUAUUAUAUCACACACUUUCACUUGGACAACAAAUUACUAAUCAAACAAAAAUCAUUAGUUAGGAAAUUCAGUUAUAUUUUAUUUCAUGACGAGAAGAUUUUUAUUUAAGUAACACGAUCAUUGUAAAAUUUUACUAAUUUAAUAACGGUAUGUAUUUUUGCGAGUCGUAAUACUUAAAAAAAUGUUUAUUUUAUCCUAUGUGUGUUAAUAAUUUUACUAAAUCCAGUUAAUUUCAUCCGCAUGUGCAUCUAUUAAUUUAAGGGUACUUAAAAUAUGGUUUAUUUUAUGACUAUUACUUUUCUCAUCCUACCUACUUCUCACGCGCCUUAGUUUUUUUUUACCAAAAUGUCCAUGGGGUUUCAGAUUCUAUAAUCCAAACACAUCUGAAAUGUGUUCGAUUUAUAGAAUUUGAAAUACACUUAAAUAUAAGCAGUAAUCACAAUCUCUCCCAAUUCAGCAGUUUUGAAUUAAGCUUUUAAAAACAACAAAAAAACAAAGUAAAAAAUGAUAAAAUCUGUCAAAUAAAAUAAAUAUCAAAAUAUCAAAAAAAAAAAAAAUCAAAUAAAGAUAAUGCAAUUUGUUUGGAUUUUUUUUUAGAAUAUAAAAAAAAAAUCAAAUAUGGGUCUAGACAAUAGAAUUUUGGAUUUUGAGCACGUUUUGGAGCAAUCCGAGGAAAUAGUCUGAAAACUGAUUUUUCGACUAAGCCACAAUGGGAACAAUUAACAAUGACUUGAAACAAUAGGAUGAUCAUUAUGAUUCUUAAAUUGGUUAUUUAUCUUACAAACAACUUAGUCUUUGUGCUGAUACAAUUUAGAUUAUAUAAUUCAAACUGUUUUCCUCAUAAUUUUUGGCGCAAUAGGGUGUUUAAGGGGUGUUCGAAUUUUAUAAUCCGAACAAAAAAGGUACGCGCCCCAUUUUUUUGGGUGUUCGGNGGUCCCUGCAAAAUAUUUUGUUUUUGGAAAUAGUCCCUGCAGGGACUAUUUCCAAAAACAAAAUAUUUUGCAGGGACCAAAAACAACAAAAUUUUUUUGCAGGGACUAAAACCAAAACGAGGCAUAUUUGCAGGGACCAAAACCAUAUUUUAGCCUUUAUUAUAUUUGUUUGUAUCCAUUAAGAUAUUCCUUCUAUACCAGUCUAUGGUGAAUUUUAUUUGUGGAUACUAUGCAUACAUGAUUUUGAUCAUCAUUAAUCAUAUGUCUAAACCGGACAACGUCGGAUUAAAAACACUAGUGUUAUUAAAUCCACUCUCGUCAAUUCAAAUAUGAAAAAACAAAAUACAUGCAUACCUCAGGUCCACCUGUCGCGGUGAAAUACAAUCCAUAUACUGGAUGAUUUGCCAAAGUCAUCUUCUCUACCGGUCCUACGAGGUUAGACAUUAGAACACUUGAGUUCCCAAUUGUGUUGUAGAUUAUUUUAGCUACUGCCUGAAACACAAACCCAAUAAAAUAGAGAACAUUAAUAAAUCAAAGAGGCUCCAAACUAAGAAGAAUAAUGGUGUUAAAAUUUCAUGUUUUAUCUUUCUACUCGUAGACUCUUUGCUUUCAAAAUUAUUAAUUUAUGAAUGAAAAUAUUAAUGUGGGACACACCUCAGGUCCUCUUAAUCUCAUCUCCAAAUCCAUGAGCAUAGCUACAAGAUAAACACUGAAAGAACGUCUCUUCCUCUUGAUUAGUUCACGGGAAUUCCAAACAAACUCAAGAGGAUUGGAGAUUACUGAUUGACUUACUUUAGGUAUUGGUAUUUGUAAGAAAGAAAUUUGAUUUCCCCAAAGACCUUUGCACUCUGGUUUUUGCAUUUCUGUCAAUGAUUGGUAACCUCCAAUAUUUCUUGUGUUGAGCAUUACCACUGCUGUGGAAUUUGCUCUUUUUGUUUUCUCAUUCAUCUCUUUCAUGUAAAGCCUAAUACCAUAGAAGACCAUUCCACAAACCACAUCGUUUAUAGUCUGCACCGUUUAUACAUUCAUGCCAAUUAGUUAAUCAAACUUAAUCCAAUGAUUUAAUUUUUUGUAUAAUAAUCCAAUGAUAUGAUUACGUGUUAAAUAUAUUUAAUUUAUUUUCAUAAUUGACAAAACUUGAUUUGUAACCAAAAAAAAAAAACUUGAUUAUGUCAGCAAGUUUUGAUUAUCAAAUGUUUUCCACCACUUUUUGUCCCUGUUUUUAAUUCAACUCAUGUGUAAGGACUAUUCUUCGAAGACAAGCAAAAUGUAGGGAGAAAAGAACAUAUUUAAUCCUAAAAUAAUCGGGAUUCCACUAGCCGUCACAUCAACAUUCCGUUAGAUAAUUAACAACAGAGACUAAUUUUAAUAACGGAGAUAAAAUAUGAGGAUUUUAAAAAUAUUUAAUGAAAUGUAAGAACUGUUCUUCAAAGGUAGGACUAAAAACAUAUUUAACCCAAAAAAUUUAGAUUAUAUUUUUUGUUAUAUUUUUGGUGUCAUUGAAAAAGAUAAUCAUGAUUAGUUUGGUCUAUUAUAACUUGAAAGCAAUAAACAUUUAUAUUUUUAGCUUUAAUCAAAAUCAAAAUUUCAUAAAAAAACAAUGUUCAUAAUUUUCAAACGUUAAUGCAAUAAAAAGAGUAAAAAAUAAAAAUAAUCUUACCACUUUGAGUUUUGUUUUUAUUUCUUUGAUUUGAUCAAGUGAUAGUGAUAUGGUUGACAAGGUAACAGGAUGAGAUUCAUUUCCUUCAUAUCCUGACCUUAUAGGUGUUUUGUCAUCUUCAAUCAUUGUUGUCUUCAAUAUGCUUGAUCCAAAAUCUGAUAUGGAGCUAAAAAAGGAUGAGAUAUCUAUACAUAACUUCUUAAACAAACUUUUCUUUGCAUAUUUUGAAUCUAAUUGUGGUCUUUUUGAAGGAAAAGAUAGAGGAAGAGAAGGAUCAUCAGCUCUUUGAAGACAAGAAAGAAGAGCACCCAUGAGAGAGUAACCAUCACCAAGUCCAUGAUGAAGUUUGAAUAUUAUGGUGCAAGCAGCAUUGGUUGUUGGAUAAUUGAUAACAUGAAUUUCCCAAAGUGGUUUAUCUUGUGGUGUUUUUUUAGCUAGAAUACUUGUUACAUAGUCACUAAGAUAAUUGUCAUAUAAUUCACAUGAUGAUGAAUUUAUGGUUUCAGGAAAUAUGGGAAUCUUUAAGUGUUCUUCAGGCUUCACUUCGACCUUUUGCCAUCUCAUCUCACCCUCUUUGUCUUUUACCUGUGCAAAUUAAUUAAUAGUAUCAAAAUAAAAAUAAUUAGUGAUAAUAAAAGGUCAAUUUUGAUUAUUGAAGAAGACUAGAUUCGAUAGAAAUUGACUAGCCUUAAUAUGCGUUAUAUUAAUUAAAAUUUGGUAGGUAACAUGUAAGUAAUAUUAAUACAGAAGAGAUAUAGAAUGUAACCAUAAUUGAGGAGAAGCGUGGGUUGAUAGGGAUGAAGACAUCUUUGAGCAAAGGUAUAGCUAAUGAAUUAUCAAAUGG